rnacentral:rRNA from 1 species
CCCGGAGAAAUUCGGAUUAAUACCCCAUAGUAUAAUCAGAUGGCAUCUGAAGAUUAUUAAAGAUUUAUCGGUUAUAGAUGGGCAUGCGUAAGAUUAGCUAGAUGGUGAGGUAACGGCUCACCAUGGCGACGAUCUUUAGGGGGUCUGAGAGGAUGAUCCCCCACACUGGUACUGAGAUACGGACCAGACUCCUACGGGAGGCAGCAGUAGGGAAUAUUGGUCAAUGGGGGCAACCCUGAACCAGCCAUGCCGCGUGCGGGAAGAAGGUGUUCUGCGUUGUAAACCGCUUUUAUAUAGGAAGAAAAGACCAUGCGUGGUUCUAUGACGGUACUAUAUGAAUAAGCACCGGCUAACUCCGUGCCAGCAGCCGCGGUAAUACGGAGGGUGCGAGCGUUGUCCGGAAUUAUUGGGUUUAAAGGGUGCGUAGGCGGUCUUUUAAGUCAGAGCUGAAAUUCCACGGCUUAACCGUGGAACUGGCUUUGAUACUGGAAGACUUGAGUAUAGUAGAGGUAGGCGGAAUUGAAGGUGUAGCGGUGAAAUGCAUAGAUAUCUUCAAGAACACCAAUUGCGUAGGCAGCUUACUGGGCUAUAACUGACGCUGAGGCACGAAAACGGGGGGAGCGAACA